rnacentral:RNase_P_RNA from 1 species
CGGGUCGGUCAGACCAUCGCGGCUCGAGACUGAGGCCCACCGGAGACGGCGGAUAACUGCCUCGGGCCGAGGAAAGUCCGGGCUCCGCAGGGCAGGAUGGUGGGUAACGCCCACUCGGGGUGACCCGCAGGCCAGUGCCACAGAAAACAGACCGCCGGCGGCGCUCGUCGUCGCUGGUAAGGGUGAAACGGCGGUGUAAGAGACCACCAGCGCCCCAGGUGACUGGGGCGGCUAGGCAAACCCCAUCCGGUGCAAGGUCGAACAGGAUGUGUUUGAGGGCUGCCCGCCUGAGCAUCCGGGUUGACCGCUUGAGGUCCGUGGCAACACGAGGCCCAGAUGGAUGAUGGUCCGCCUCGGUGAGCAAUCACCGUGGCCGACAGAACCCGGCUUAUCGACCGACCCGUCCC